CUAAGCGCGAAGCCAACUUCAAGAUAAGAUUUCCCACCGUAAGGGUAAGAUCCCAGGAAGACUACCUGGUUGAUAGGUCGGAGGUGUAAGUGCAGCAAUGUAUGUAGCUUACCGAUACUAAUAGAUCGAGGACUUGACCAA
rnacentral:rRNA from 1 species